UUCAGAUAAUAUUUGAAGGAAUUAGAGGGAAGGGUUAUAGAGGAGACAUUGCUAUUGAUGUACACAAUUUCCAGAUAACUCUCAACCAAGUCAAUCAUCACUUGGAACAGUCACAUGUAACUUUGACUCAGAUUACUGCCAAUGGAUUCAAAGCACCACUGAUCAGUUUAACUGGUCACGCAUCAAUGGCUCUACCUCCAGCCAAGGUACCGGUCCUCUAGGAGACCAUACUAGUGCUGGUCAAUCAGGGUAUGGGACAGGAUCAUACAUUUAUAUAGAAGCGUCUGGGCGACACACACCUGGUGACAAAGCUGAUUUGAUGACUCAGAUCAUACCUAGCACUUCUCCACAGGGCAGAUGCUUUUCCUUCUGGUAUCAUAUGUAUGGUGGAUCUAUAGGGAAAUUAAACAUCUACAGUAUAUCAGGGGGACAGCAGACAUUACUCUGGACGAAAUCUGGUACUCAAGGAAACAAAUGGCAACAAGCAAGUCUUAACUACGUCAGUAAAACUGAUUUUAAGAUGAUGAUAGAAGGAACAACAACAGGUGGUUACCGUG